GCUGAAAGAAGGGAAUGGAGACCUUUUGUUUCCUGCUUUUUUGCUGUCGGUUUACUCGUGUUUGACUUGCUUUAUUUAUACAAAAAUCCUUGGUAUUUUUGUUCUGAAAUUUUUGAUCCUUCCCACUUUUUGAAUUUGCCAUUUCAUUUAGUUAUUAUGUUACUUUGUUGCUCAGAUGGCAUUUCUCUUUGAGCUUUGAUAAGCUUAAGGUCUAUGAUGUUUACUCUUUACUCAAGAGAACCAGUUAAACGGGGCUAAUUCAGAAAACAGGUUUUAAUUGAGUGUGAAACUCACAGCCAGUCUUCCAAAACCCAACAGCCAAGGGCUGUUUACAGCUGAAUGGGUUUACAGGAAUCAGGCUUACUAACUUUGGCCUGCCUCAGACUCGACACCGUCCAUUUGUCGAUUGGCGGAAUCGUAUGCCUGGCCGAGCGGUAGGAGGACGUGGGGGAGUCAGCCGCGGUUCUCGCCGGAGGCGGCGAAGGUAGGCCUAGGCGUCUUGGGAGGCGAGUAGCUGCUCACGCCGUACCGCGCCCGCGGGUUGGAGCCUGGGGCUCGAUUUGGUUGCCACGCCGGGAAGGGGUGGCCUUGGAGCCGGCUGGCUGCAGUGAUGGGGCUGGGGAAGAGCUGGAUGAGUCUUCUGACGAGGAAUCUCGGUUUUGGGACAUGGUGCAUGCGGACCAAAAUGCUGAUAAACUGUCAAUGGAUAGAGGUAAGUCAGCGAUAUUUAUACUGUGGGAUUGAUUACUUGAUUGUGGUCCACCUGUGAUGAUUAGGCUAAGUAUCUGACGCGCUCCUCCCGAAUCUUCAUAGAUAAUUACAUUUUGUAAAACUGCAUUUUUCCAUCUCAAAAAUAUAUCUAAAUUACAGCCUAUGCUCU